GUUUACGCAAAAAAAUAUUUAACGUAGCGUUUAACGCCGUUUAGUGAAUUCCUUUUAUAUUUUAUAGAUGAUUGUUGCUGUGAACUGUAGCGAUGUGCGUGUAGAAAAGAAACACGUAGAUGUCGAUGAAUUUGUGUCACUAUAUAUUGAAAGUUCGAUAGAAGUUCGUGAAGAGAUUGCUUCCAAGGUUGUUGAGCAACUAUAACGAUUAAGAUGAAUCGAAGAAACAACCAGUUUAAGAAAAUCAAUGAGCAAUGGUUUGUAGUUAUUUUGACAUGUUUUCACGGUUGUUUUUGUCUUUCUUUUAUUUUGAAGAUUAAAAGAGUUAGUUGUAUCUGGUGAAGCAGCAUGUGGGUAGUGUCUAAGAAAAUAAAGGCUUAUUCAUACUUAGUCAUCACUCCUUUCCUCUCCAGCUUACUGUUUUAAACUAGAGCAUCCACCUUCUUGUGUUUUUUUUUUCUGUCAAAAAAUAAAAUAAUAUUUAAAAAUAAAUAAUAAAAAAAAUGUUAAAACUGUGGCCAUUACAUUAUUACAUUUUCAGACACCCCCCCUCUCUUUUGACCAUCUGACUUGGUGAAAGUCUCUUACAAGAAUGAAAAUUACACUAAAUUGUUAGUAUUCUGAAGUCAA